rnacentral:rRNA from 1 species
GUCUGCAACCAAAUCAGCGUGAAUGUGGCUGAUAUCAUUAGAACUCAGAAGAAAGAGUUGAGUUUGGUUCGUACUUGGAUGAGAGACUACCUGGGAAUACCAGGUUGGCUUAGGCU